UCUCAAUCGCCUCUUAUAAGCUUUGUGGCGUACGACGCGCUUGCUCUCUCCUCCACAGCCUCUCUCUUUUUCUUUCUUUUUCAUCAGAGAUUAACAAGAAGACUAUGUUUAUCCUAUCUGCUGCUACGCCUUCCACAUUCUCUACUAUCUCAUCGUCUAGGGUUCCAUUUGCAUCUUCUUCUUCGUCUUCGAAGUUGUUUGCUGUUUCUUUCGCACAGAGUUUGCGAAAUCCUCUUUCUUGUCCUUGUUUGGUUUACUCUUUGAAGCUACGUGCUAUGGCCAAGAUGGUUAAGGAUAAGGAAUCAUCGUUUUCGUCGUCGUCUGCGGCGGCUUCGGCGGCGUCUGAGAGUGGUGUCUCUCCGCUUGCUAUCAGUUCGGAAUGGAAAGAGAGUAAUCGUUCACGGACUUUUCUUAAUGCUGCUUCUGAAGAAGAGAUACUUUCUGGAAUCAAGAAGGAAGCAGAAGAAGGAAGACUUCCUUCAAAUGUUGCUGCAGGGAUGGAAGAAUUAUAUCAGAAUUAUAAAAAUGCUAUUUUCCAAAGUGGGAAUCCUAAUGCAGAUGAGAUUGUGUUUUCAAAUAUGACUGCUGCACUUGAUCGUAUUUUCUUGGAUGUAGAGGAGCCAUUUGUGUUCGCGCCAUAUCACAAAGCAUUGCGGGAGCCUUUCGACUACUAUAUGUUUGGUCAAAAUUACAUUCGACCUUUAGUUGAUUUCAGGAACUCAUAUGUUGGCAACAUCUCCAUUUUCAAUGAAAUGGAAGAGAAGCUUAAGGAGGGUCACAACAUCAUUCUGAUUUCAAACCACCAAACUGAAGCAGAUCCUGCUGUCAUUUCCUUGUUGCUUGAAACAACAAACCCACAUAUUGCUGAAAACAUGAUCUAUGUUGCUGGAGAUAGGGUUGUGACCGAUCCGCUUUGCAAGCCAUUUAGCAUUGGAAGGAAUCUUGUUUGUGUGUACUCAAAAAAACACAUGUUUGAUGUUCCUGAGCUUGCUGAGAUGAAAAGAAAAGCAAAUACCCGAAGUUUGAAGGAAAUGGCUUUGCUUUUGAGGGGUGGGUCACAACUUAUAUGGAUUGCACCAAGUGGUGGUAGGGAUCGACCAGAUCCGGUAACUGAAGAGUGGCAUCCAGCUCCCUUUGAUGCUUCUUCAGUGGACAACAUGAGAAGGCUUGCAGAACAUGCUGGUGUUCCAGGGCAUAUAUAUCCAUUGGCAUUGUUGUGUUACAAUAUCAUGCCGCCUCCACCCCAGGUAGAAAAAGAUGUUGGAGAGAAAAGAUUGAUAUCCUUUCAUGGGGUUGGACUAUCAGUGGCACCUGAAGUCAACUUCUCUGAAAUUUCUGCUUCCUGUAAAACAUCUGAAGAGGCCGGGCAGGUCUACACACAAGCACUCUACAAUUCUGUUAAUGAGCAAUACAAUGUGCUGAAAUCUGCUGUACAUGGCAAGCAAGGACUACAUGCAUCAACUCCAGCUGUAUCUUUGUCACAGCUGUGGAACUAAUCAGUCUUUUUGUACCUAUUUCUUACUGAACCGCUUUCACAAUCAGGUAUUCUCCUAGCGGAAAUCUUCGAUAAUGAAUUUGAGAUGCUUUGUUGAUAAAUAUAACAUAUGCAGACGCAUACAUAACAUAGACGUAAAUAGACCUGUAGACCAUACGUUUGUAUUUAAUCUUGUUUUAAGAAUCAUGAACUGCCUGAAGAAUCUGGGUGUUGAAAGCUUUUUCCAAUUGUAAGUUUGCACGUUUUAUGAGAUUUACAACAAUUUUUUUUUUCCUGGUUUAUGGAUUUUGCUUAAAAUUUAAGGCAGCAUUAUUGUAGCAAUGUUGAAGGUUUUCCAAUGUCCACAUAUAUAAUUUUUCUUCUUCCUUUUCUCGCUUUCCCAUGAAUCACAGAUACUCUUUUUUCUUCUAUUUCCUAAUAAAGAUAUACAAAAUGAAAACCAAAAGAAAAGGAUGAAUAUUCAUCUCUUUGAGGAUGUGGUUACUGCACUGGGGCAGCUCCUCGUUCCCAAGCCUAAUGUAAAUAUGAAUUCGUAUAUUGAACUAAAGUGCUUUUGUUCGUAUCCUGAAAAUGACACAUAAUGAUACUCUGCCAAGUCCAGAGAAGAGAGUAUACAUUUUUGACGAUUCUCUCGGCUCCUUGGGAAUAAGUCGCUGAUAGAAGAAGCCCAUUUUCUCUAUAACCAGCUGAAUUCUUCAAAUGCUCGAGCUGUCACGGAAGCUUCAACGUUAACGGUGAUCUGUACAGAUGGAACCAUUGAAAAAGCAAGAAAUUUCACAUGAAUAUUGUAUUCAAUUUCUUUGUAUUUUUUUUUUUUUUUUCAUAGAUAUAUUUUAAGCACAAUUGUAUAAGUUCUUUCAUGUUUAGAAUGACAAUCGCAACUUUUUAGGUUUACCUAUUGUACCUGGAAUUAUUCAGUGACUAAGCUAAUUGUAUUCGUAUGGGUCA